rnacentral:rRNA from 1 species
UACGGGGGGGGCAAGCGUUGUUCGGAAUUACUGGGCGUAAAGGGCGCGUAGGCGGCCUGCUAAGUCGGAUGUGAAAGCCCCCCGGCUCAACUGGGGAGGGUCACGCGAUACUGUUCGACUCGAAGGCAGGAGAGGGUAGUGGAAUUCCCGGUGUAGUGGUGAAAUGCGUAGAUAUCGGGAGGAACACCAGUGGCGAAGGCGACUACCUGGCCUGUUCUUGACGCUGAGGCGCGAAAGCUAGGGUAGCAAACGGG